rnacentral:misc_RNA from 1 species
AAAUUGAAAUUAUAACUGAACAUGAUAAUGUUAAAUUCUAAAUAUCAUUUUCCCACUUUCCCAGGAAAAUUAAUUCCAAAUAGUAAUGUUGAAUUUCGGUAACCAAAAGCCCCAAAGGUUAAGUUUUACUUUUUAGAAUCUAAGUCUUUAAAAGUUAAGGAUUAAUUUUUGUCUAUAAGUACCAAUAAUUGUAACGUUGUUUCAUAGUUUUGAUCAAUACAAAUUCCAUCAGUUAUGUUCUAAGAUGUGUGAUGCAAUUCAAGCAUAGGUGUGAUGCCUAUGGAAGUUUAUAUAUGAAGCCUAAACCUUUCAUUUUACUGUUCAAAGCCUACAAAUUUCUUUCUUGUUUAAAUUCACUUCCCAAUUCCAUCCUUUAACAAACCCUAACUCUCCACCCAAGUUCCUGCUCAUUUUUAGCCUUCACAAAGCCCAAAUUUCAACACUAAUUCUAAGA